rnacentral:tRNA from 1 species
UGGCGGGAUGCUUAGCCUGGAAGAGCGACCGGCUCAUAACCGGUAGGUCAAGGGAUCGAAGCCCUUCGGGCCCA